CUGACAUCUGCCCCACCCACAAGUGGUGUAUUUCCCUGUUGGGUACAAAGAAUUACCAUCAGCUGUGAAUCCCACCGUUGGCAACUUCAUUCUUUCUGACAUCAAUCCUUUGAAUCUGACUUUCAGUCUGUGGGCAGGAUGAAGUGUGUCAUGCUCUUCCUCGCGUUGACGCUGGUCGUCCUCAUGGCCGAACCCGGGGACUGUUUCUUUAAAUCUUUGUGGAAAGGAGCCCAGUCCGUGAUCACGGGAGCCGGGCAGGGAUGGAAAGCCUACAGACAUGACCUUAAAAUGGAGAAGAUGGCUCAAAGAAGAGCGCAGUCCCAACCAGGAGGCGGAGAGGACAACAAGCCAGUAGAGCCAGACUUUGUGGUCUUUGACUGAGUCUGGUCCCUCUGAAGACAUGUCUGAGCUACAGCCUUCUGCAAGAAACAAGGGCAUGAUCCAACAAAAUGGCCGUCUCGAGUUAGCUAUUCCUAUUGGAAAAUUGCUAAAUACGCUGAUAAACAGCUGAAUAAAGCUGAAAUACCAAAAACAUCA